rnacentral:rRNA from 1 species
AUAUCAAUAAGCGGAGGAAAAGAAACCAACAGGGAUUGCCUCAGUAACGGCGAGUGAAGCGGCAACAGCUCAAAUUUGAAAUCUGGCCUCACGGCCCGAGUUGUAAUUUGUAGAGGAUGCUUCGGGCGUGGUCCGGUCUAAGUUCCUUGGAACAGGACGUCAUAGAGGGUGAGAAUCCCGUAUGCGACCGGGUGCCGCUGUCCAUGUGAAGCUCCUUCGACGAGUCGAGUUGUUUGGGAAUGCAGCUCAAAAUGGGUGGUAAAUUUCAUCUAAAGCUAAAUACUGGCCAGAGACCGAUAGCGCACAAGUA